ACGGCUCAGUAACACGUGGACAACCUGCCCUUAGGUUGGGUAUAAACCCGGGAAACUGGGUAUAAUCCCCUAUAAGUCUCGGCUGCUGUAAUGCACCGAGAUUAAAAGCUCCGGCGCCUAAGGAUGGGUCUGCGGCCUAUCAGGUAGUAGUGGGUGUAGCGUACCUACUAGCCUACGACGGGUACGGGUUGUGAGAGCAAGAGCCCGGAGAUGGAUUCUGAGACACGAAUCCAGGCCCUACGGGGUGCAGCAGGCGCGAAAACUUUACAAUGCUGGCAACAGCGAUAAGGGAACCUCGAGUGCCAGGUUACAAAUCUGGCUGUCGAGAUGCCUAAAAAGCAUCUCAUAGCAAGGGCCGGGCAAGACCGGUGCCAGCCGCCGCGGUAACACCGGCGGCUCGAGUGGUAACCGUUAUUAUUGGGUCUAAAGGGUCUGUAGCCGGCCGGAUAAGUCUCUUGAGAAAUCUGGCAGCUUAACUGUCAGGCUUUCAGGAGAUACUGUCUGGCUCGAGGCCGGGAGAGGUGAGAGGUACUUCAGGGGUAGGGGUGAAAUCUUGUAAUCCUUGAAGGACCACCAGUGGCGAAGGCGUCUCACCAGAACGGACCUGACGGCAAGGGACGAAAGCUAGGGGCACGAACCGGAUUAGAUACCCGGGUAGUCCUAGCCGUAAACGAUACUCGCUAGGUGUCGGCCACGGUGCGACCGUUGUCGGUG
rnacentral:rRNA from 1 species